rnacentral:misc_RNA from 1 species
GGCAGCUUCCAAUCAAAACAAAACAGAAGAUUUGCAAGUGCAAGCUCCACUGUAGCUAGUCCCAUAACUAUCCCAGGACAACCUCUCCUUCCACCACCAAAUGGCAACAUUUCAAAAUUCUGCCCUUUAAAAUCAAUUGGGUUGUCUAUAAAUCUCUCUGGAAAGAAUUCUUCUGGGUUUCUCCAAAUCUUAGGGUCCCUUCCUAUUGCCCAUACAUUGACUUGGAUCCUAGUCUUGGGUUGAAUCUCAUAGCCGUUGAUGCUAAACUGGGACAUGGUUUCUCUUGGAAUUAGUAGUGUGCCUGGUGGGUGCAGUCUCAGUGUUUCCAUCACUACCAUCUUGAAGUAUCCAAGCUUCUCAAUGUCACUUUCUGAGACUUUUCUUUUGUUUCCAAC